ensembl:lncRNA
GAACCUGAUCAUGUGUUGAUACUGAGCCUGAUCAUGUGUUGAUACUGAACCUGAUCAUGUGUUGAUACUGAUCCUGAUCAUGUAUUGAUACUGAACUUGAUCAUGGAAUGAUUAUGAACUUGAUCAUGUAUUGAUCAGUGAAUUGUCCCCCCCGCAGGGCGUGAGAAGAGAAAGGGUCACAUGAUUUCAGCGGGUGAUGUCGAGUUCCCGCGGGAGUACCACACGCUGGCGGACCGCGGCCGCGGCGCCCGGCGUUUCAACGACAACGCCGCCAACGGGGCUUCUCCUGCUCGUCUCUGGACCGGCGAGGCAACGCCCGGAGUCUGGAGGCCCUAAGCACCUCCCACACGGCCGAGGCGGAGCGCCAACGCCAUGGCCUCCUGGACAAGCACAAAGUACCCAGCAGCCCUUGCAGUGCGCCCGCCUCCCAGCUCUCCACCCCUGCCAGACAGCAG